GUGCUCGCUUCGGCAACACAUAUACUAAAAUUGGACUGAUACAGAGAAGAUUAGCAUGGCCCCUGCACAACGAUGACACACAAAUUCAUGAAGCGUUCCAUAUUUAA
rnacentral:snRNA from 1 species